rnacentral:lncRNA from 1 species
GUAUAGACACCUCCACCCUCACCCUCAACCAGUGCUAGGAUUGCAAGCCAAUUUGUCUAAUUCUAUUACGUCAUGCUACCACUCUACAGUAAUUAUAAUUAGUGCUAACUUCAUACCAAGAACUGUGCUAAGUAUCUCAUUUAGUCUUUAUAAUAACCCUAUGACGUAGGUACCAAAUUUAGCUUCAUUUUACAAAUGAGAAAAUUGGGCACAGAAAGAAAGUCAGGUUGCCCAAAGUCACACAGUAAACAGUCCAGCUUAUAUUCAAAUCCAGGAACCUGACUCCAGAACCUAUGCCCCUAAUCAUUAGGUGGCACUCUCAGAUAGAAUUAAAAUCCACCAGGCAAAAAAUGAGUAAAUAGCUAAUUUUUAUCAGUAAAGAUUACUGAGGAAAUACAGAGAGGGGCUCUCUCUGGAAUUUCCUUAUCAAACUAAGGAAACUUUUUCCUUAAGAAAUGCAAUUCUCUUAAACCUCCUCCCCAGAAAUCUCAUUAAAUUACCAGGAAAGAUUAACCUGAGAAGAAAAGAAUCUAUAAUAAGUCAUUGCCAGGACCAGACAGACUGUUCGUCUAUUCUUCAGAGGGCAGCUUUGAGACAUUACCCGAGAGACUUCAACUGCGUAAUACAACAACCUCUGUUCACCCUACAGUUCCUCCCUCAACUUCCCAUAACUUGUGGGUCCCAUUCAGUUUCCAAAGAGAACCAUUUACAAACUACUGUCUGCUCCUUGGAUCCAUUAAACUCUCCUAAAAGUCACUAUUCCCCAAAAUUGCCUAUAUUCCCCCAUCUCCCUGACCCCUAGAAAGAGAGUGCCAUUUAAGCUGUGGCUAUCUGGCCUUUCUGUUACAGCCCAACAGGUUCUUCUUACCCGCUGCCCAGAAAAGCCAAUACACGGAGAACAGUAGGGGUGUUGCAGCAGAGAAAGAGUUUAAUUACUGCAAGGCAGCUGAGCAGAAGGAGGGGAGGUAUCUCUCAAAUCCACCUCCUCGAAAGCUUG